GCGUAGGAAUCUACCAUUCAGUGGGGGAUAGCCCGGAGAAAUCCGGAUUAAUACCGCAUACGCUCUUCGGAGGAAAAGGGGCCUCUUCUUGAAAGCUCCUGCUGAUUGAUGAGCCUGCGUUGGAUUAGCUUGUUGGUGAGGUAAUGGCUCACCAAGGCGACGAUCUAUAGCUGGUCUGAGAGGAUGAUCAGCCACACUGGGACUGAGACACGGCCCAGACUCCUACGGGAGGCAGCAGUGGGGAAUAUUGGACAAUGGGGGAAACCCUGAUCCAGCCAUGCCGCGUGUGUGAAGAAGGCC
rnacentral:rRNA from 1 species